CAAUGAAAUAAGAGCUGAAUAUGAUUUUAAUUUAAAAAUAUUUUGAAAUAGCAAAAUGAUUCACUCCAUUAAUAUAUUUAUUUUGUGAAUUGUUAAGAAUAUUUAUUUCUUAAUAGUAGUUAUCAUUUUAAACAAACUUCUAACCACAUUCGUCUUAAUAUACUCCCUACGUCAAUAAAAAAUAAUUUUAUUUUAUUAUUUUGAAAAUAUUAUAUGAAAAAAACACAACAGGUGAAAUAAAGAUGUCAUUUAUUUAUAAAGAAAUAUUUGUUUAGUUCUGCUCAAAUCUAUACCAGCAUUUGGCAGCUUGGCUUCUCAUAAAGUUGAUAGAUAAUCUUGUUUCCACCUCUGCCAAAGCCUCUACCGCCUCUACCUCCCCUUUGAUUUCUAGAUCCACCUCUCCCUCCAUCUAAAUCAAACUUGCUGUUGUAAGGCUGCUACUCUUUCAUUUGCCCAAACUGUUGUUGCACCAAGUGGAGUGAAGGAUCAUAGUCCUAACUCAAACCUCCAAGGAUGUGCAGAAUCUGCUCUCCAUCAGAUACCCUACAACCAACUGAGCUAAGAAGAUCAAAUUGAGCGACUAGCAAAGUUAGUCUCAAGCACUUCCCAUAUGUCCUUCGCAGACUUUAGACCAACCACGAGAGAAAGAGCUCCCUCAGACAAUGAAGAGAGCAGCCAUCCUGCAAGCCUCCUAUCCUGCCUCUGCCAAGCUAUGAAGGCUGGAUUCAUCACGAAAGAUCCUGCAACUGGAUCUGCAAUCAUUUGUGGAGGUGGGCUGGCUUCUCCGAUGAGAAAUGACUCAAGCCCAUAUCCAUACACUGCAACAUCCACUUGUUGUUGUUAAAUCAAGAAAUUUUCAUCAGUUAGUUUCACUGAGAUAGGAGGUAGUUGAGAGAAGUGAGGCAAAGCUGCCAAAGGAAUGGUUGUGGCAUUUGAAUCGUUUGAUUCUACCAUUUUGCGAAAGCUACAGUUAGAACCAAGAGGGUAGAAGAGACAGAAUCACUAAGAUCCUGCUCUGAUACCAUGAAAACAAAUGAGGAAAGACAUGAAGAAGAAAGUUCAACUGGAAUAUUUGAUAAACUUGACAAAAUGAUUGAUUCACUAUUUCAUUGAUUUCAUUGUGCCACAUACAUUCCAAACUUAUAGCUAG